CCUACGGGAGGCUGCAGUGAGGAAUAUUGGUCAAUGGGCUUACGCCUGAACCAGCCAAGUCGCGUGAGGGAAGACGGCCCUAUGGGUUGUAAACCUCUUUUGUCAGGGAGCAACGCCGGCUACGCGUAGCCGGACUGAGAGAACCUGAAGAAAAAGCACCGGCUAACUCCGUGGCAGCAGCGGGGGAAAUACGGAGGAUGCGAGCUUUAGCCGGAUUUAUUGGGUUUAAAGGGAGCGUCGGGGGUUUUUUAAGUUCGUGGUGAAUGGUGGCGGCUCAACAGCAAAAUUGCAGUUGAAACUGGCAGUCUUGAGUACAGUAGAGGUAGGCGGAAUGCGUGGUGUAGCGGUGAAAUGCUUAGAUAUCACGAAGAACUCCGAUUGCGAAGGCAGCUCACCGGAC
rnacentral:rRNA from 1 species